UCCUCGGCGGGUUCGCCCGCCGAUUGGACAAUUUAAACCAUUUGCAGUUGCAAUCAGCGUCUGAAAAAACAUAAUAGUUACAACUUUCAACAACGGAUCUCUUGGUUCUGGCAUCGAUGAAGAACGCAGCGAAAUGCGAUAAGUAGUGUGAAUUGCAGAAUUCAGUGAAUCAUCGAAUCUUUGAACGCACAUUGCGCCCCUUGGUAUUCCAUGGGGCAUGCCUGUUCGAGCGUCAUUUGUACCUUCAAGCUCUGCUUGGUGUUGGGUGUUUGUCUCGCCUCUGCGCGUAGACUCGCCUCAAAACAAUUGGCAGCCGGCGUAUUGAUUUCGGAGCGCAGUACAUCUCGCGCUUUGCAUUCAGAACGACGACGUCCAAAAGUACAUUUUUACACUCUUGACCUCGGAUCA
rnacentral:rRNA from 1 species